UACAGAGGGGGCAAGCGUUGUCCGGAAUUACUGGGCGUACAGCGCGCGCAGGCGGACUCCCACGUGCCGUGUGACAAGCCACCGCUCAACGGUGGAGGGCCAGGGUACACGAGGGGUCUGGAGGCAGGGAGAGGGAUGUGGAAUGCCCGGUGGAGCGGUGAAAUGCGUAGAGAUCGGCAGGAACACCCAGGGGGAAACCAGUGGACUGGCACGGAGCUGACGCUCAGGUGCGAAAGCGUGGGGAGCGAACCGG
rnacentral:rRNA from 1 species